AAAAAAACUUUAGGGCCGUCGGUCUACCGAGCAAUAUCAGCCGCUCGGUGGAAGAUCUACUCUUUGUCGUUAAAC
rnacentral:pre_miRNA from 1 species